rnacentral:rRNA from 1 species
UACGUAGGUUGCAAGCGUUGUCCGGAUUUAUUGGUUUUAACGGGUGCGUAGGCGGCCUAUUAGGUUAGUGGUGAAGACGUUCGGCUUAACCGGAUACCCGCCAUUGAUACUGAUAGACUUGAGUGCGACAGAGGGUGUUGGAAUGUGUGGUGUAGCGGUGAAAUGCUUAGAUAUCACGCAGAACACCAAUUGCGAAGGCAGAUGCCUAUGACGUAACUGACGCUGAGGCACGAAAGCGUGGGGAGCAAACAGG